rnacentral:miRNA from 1 species
GUUCAUCUUCACUGACUGCGCA